rnacentral:lncRNA from 1 species
UGAAGGAGAUUGUGAGAAACUAUUUUGUAGAAGCAAAGUGGUUCAUUGAGGGAUAUAUGCCGCCUGUUUCUGAGUAUCUUAGCAAUGCAUUAGCUACCAGCACAUAUUACUUGCUAACUACAACAUCCUAUUUGGGAGUGAAGUCAGCAACAAAGGAAGAUUUUGAAUGGUUGGCUACGAACCCUAAAAUUCUUGAAGCCAAUGUGACAUUAUGCCGAGUUGUUGAUGACAUAGCAACGUAUGAGGUAAUUAGCAUCGCAUUACACUACAUAAAUCAUCUUAUAAUUUAGAGUUACAGUAAUUUAAUACAAAUUGAUUUCACAUACUUAUAAAUGAAUUAUAAUUGCCAUUCCAGGUUGAGAAGGGUAGGGGCCAAAUCGCAACAGGAAUUGAGUGUUAUAUGAGGGAUUAUGACGUAUCAACAGAAGUAGCAAUGGAAAAAUUCCAAGAGAUGGCUGAGAUAGCAUGGAAGGAUGUAAAUGAAGGAAUUCUUCGACCAACACCUGUCUCUACAGAAAUUCUUACUCGCAUUCUCAAUCUUGCUCGUAUUAUAGAUGUCACUUACAAGCACAAUCAAGAUGGAUACACUCAUCCCGAAAAAGUUCUAAAACCUCACAUCAUUGCUUUACUGGUGGACUCCAUUGAGAUCUAAACCAUUGAGUUUUUUUUUCCUUUUAGUUCCAUCUAUAUAAGUUUCCUGUAAUACUACUGUACUUAAUUAAAACGUUUUUGUACCAUUAAUUUUUUAUAUCUUAAUAAUACUUCUUUUGUACCUAGCUCGAUCUUCUUUUUAUUUGCUAAAAUAAAUUGUAAGAUUUUAAGCAAAGAAACUGCCAUAUUGAUCAUCUAACAAUAAGGAGAAAGAGUGAAAAAAACAUAAGCUUUAUCUAAGCAAGUGACACUAGUACUAAAUUCUAAUAACAUACUACUCAUGAGGUUAAUAGUACUUUUAGGGUGUGUUUGGUAUGAAGGAAAAUGUUUUCCUGGAAAACAAGUAGGCUUUUGACUUAUUUUUUCAUGUUUGAUUGGUAAGUAGAAAAUAUUUUUUAGUGUUUGAUUUAUGAAUGAAAAUUAUUUUUGAGAAAAUAUCUCUUUUUUACUAGAGAGUAGAAAAUAAUUUUUGAAUUGAAAUUGAAAAUAUUUUAAAAAAAUAAACUUAAUUUUUUUUGGGUGGGAGGCAGUGGCGGACCCAGGAUUUUCACGAAAUGGGUUCAAGAUAUAAAAAUAUACCUAAUAUUAUUUGUAAUUUUUAUAGGCUAACAGCAUACAUAUCUGACUAUACUAAACAAUGUUAAUACAUUUGAAAAAAAUUUACAUUGACUUAGGAAUGAGACGGUAAAUAACAAGAUGGACGAAAAACUAGGCUUCAAUAUAAACUAAGAAGAUAAAAGAAUAUUAUGAAUGAUUUCUCUUCAUUCAACAUUUAGCAAAUAAAAACAAAAUGUUAAACAAAAUAAUUAUAACCUUAAUUUCAGAAUCGAAUACAUAGAAAUAUACCUAAUAUUAUUUGUAAUUUUUUGUUGAUUUUAGAAUGAUAAGGGAUUUUUUAGUUGAAGAAAUAAAAAAUAACCACAAUAAUCAUAUAUGUAUAUAUAAAGACUAGAAUCAAGAGCGAAAAACAUACUUGAUGGAUAUUGACUAUUGAUGUGAGAUUUGAGAGACGGGGAGAGUUUUUUUUCCUUCAAUAAAAAAAUAUGGUCAAAAUUUUGGGGAGGAAAGUAAGAGAGGUUCAAGAAGAUUUCAACAAAGAAGAAGACAAAAGAGUUUUUAGAAUUGAGAAUAAUAGGGAUUAGUGUCCUUUUUCGUGUUUAAGUUUUUUUUUUAAAAAAAAUUAAAACAAAAGGACAAAAGUUGUUGACUAUUGGACUUUUAAUUGUAAAAGUAAAAAGUUAGUUCUACUUUUUAUAGUUUCUAAGUAACUAAAAGGACAAAAGUAACACCUACAUAGAGGAAAAAAAUUGUGUGUGAACGUUUUAUAUAUAAAAAAAACGAAUUAAAACUAAAAAUGUGGCAAUGGGGAUUCGAUCCCGGGUUGGAUGGGAACAUUGAACCUCCCUCAACCACUCAGCUAAGCUUCAAACUUGUGUUAGUGGGUUCAAAAUUUAAUAUAUACAUAUAAAAUUUUAAAAACUGAUUAAAUAUACAUAUAUAUACAGUGUUAUUUUUCAAUGAAGUGGGUUCAUAUGAACCAACUUGAACCACUGUAGGUCCGCCCCUGGUCAUAUAGGCCCAUGUUGGACAUCCAAUUGCUUCGAUUUGAAUUAUCUAGAACGCAAGUUGAAUCACAACGAAUAUUAUGAUCAAACAUGAUUUUCAGAAUUAUUAUUCGAGAAAAAGUAAAAUAUAUUCAUAGUUAAACGACCAAUAGUAUGAUUUGUUUUCAAUAAUCAAAUUAUCACUUAUUAAUUGUUUUAUUUUUUGUAUUGCGGUAAAAAAAUAAAAAAAUUGAAGUUGAAAAAUGUUUUUUUAAAAUAAGCUUUAAAUUUAUUUGUUCAACAAAAAAAUUUGAUUUUUUCAACAAAAAAAUUGUAAUAUGAAGUUGGAGGAAAGUUUUAGAAAAUGUUUUCCUUAAGUUUUGAAGGGAAGUCAUUUUUCUUGAAUUUGAGGAAAAUGAGUUGAUUUGGAAAAUAUUUUCCUAAACAUUUUACCCAACCAAACAUGAAAAAAAUUGGAAAACAUUUUCCGGAAAAUGUUUUCCUUCAUACCAAACACACCCUUAGUCCUUUUGUUAUUCAUAAAUUUAAUGUUAAUUUUUAUGAUAUCUAACUAAACACAUUAAAUCUUUAGUUAAUUAAAAUAUGCAUAUUUUAAUUCUUUUGCUCGUAAAUAUUUACCAAUUUUCUAUGAUUAUUAACUGUUCCAUUAUCUAAUUAUUUUUGAUUUGUUGUGUUGUGUUAAGUUUAUAGUAUUUCCUCAUAUUUGAUGGUAAAUAUAACUCUAAAAAUAAUCUGAAUAUAAUAUAUUUUAUGCAAAGAAACAAAAGUAGAAUAAAAUUAAAUAUGUUAGGUAGGGCUGUUCAAAAUGGAAUCGAAAUCGAUAACUCAAAUCGAAAAAAAGUUAUUAAUUUAUUGAUAAUAGGUUAUUUGUUUAACGAUUUUGGUAUUGGUUUUUGAUUUUUUUAUCAUCGGGUUAUUGAUUCUUAACGAAAUUGAAGUUUUUUCUUAAUGGGUUAAUUGAUAACUAGAUAAUAAAUUAAUAAAUUAUAUUAAUACCAUUUUGGUAUAUAAAGUCCUUUGACUUAGGAUUUAGUUUCAUAUUUUCAAUUCUUUUUUUGGUAACCAAUGUAAACUAUUACCAUACCAUCCAAAAACAAUUACAAAUAAAGAGUACCCUCUCCUGAUAACAGGUUGAGGUCUCCAACCAAACAAGGAAACUAAUUACAAAAUAAAUGCUGAAUGAAACCUCUACAUCUUUGAGCUUUCUUUGAAUUACUCAAGAAUUGUAUUCUUUCUGUUAUCUCCUUCUUAAUCUGUAUGACUACAUCUUUUGUAUUUACAUUCUUUCCUUUGUACUUCUUCCAAUUUCUAACACGCCAAGUGUGAUAUAGGACUGCUCCACUAAUUGCCGCAAUAAUCUCCUUUUUAAACUGCUUCCAAUGUUUCUCCUUUAUUCCAUCCAGAAACUGUGUGAUCCCAUUGUUUAUCAAAUAUAUACCUGUCCACCAAACUAUCUCUUGCCAUACCAUCUUAGACCAUUUACAUUCUUCAAACAAAUGCCUUGUGGUCUCCAUAACUUUCUCUUCACAUAGACAACAUUCAGUGUCAUCAACCUGAAUGUGCAGUCUCAACUUUCUCUCUUGUGUAAGCAAUCGACCUUGUAUAGCUAGCCACACCAUGAAUCUGUGUUUUGGUAGAGCCACAGCAGUCCACACUAAAUCAGCAGUUUCCAAUUGUUGUCUUUGCCCUUUAAUUGCCAAAUAACUCCGUGUGAUGGAAUAUGUACCAUUUUUUGUCAACAUGUAUUUUCAAUUCUGACAGUCUCAAACUUUCAGUUAUUCUACAAUGUGUUAGUGUUGUUUUUUAGCAAGAUACAAUUUAUCAACUCAUGUGCAUCGUUUAUUUGAUUUGUCACCAUGUUCUAAGAGAUUUUCAAUAAUUUAUUUUCGUGUCAAAUCAUAACGAUUAAACCAAUAACAAAACCGGUAACGAUCAAUAACCGAUAAACCGAUAAGCCAAUAUAUUAAUGGUUCUUAACGGUUUAGCACAUCUACAAAUUGAUAACCGAUUAGUUGAACCGAUAAACUUCAAAACCGAACCGAAUCAACCAAUGCAACACAUAUAUCACAAAAAUCAAAAUCAAAAUCAAAAUUUAUUGAUAUAUAAAUGAUGAACCAAAAGUAUUUACAAACCGUUCUGAAAAUAAUGUGAAACUCCAAAAAUACUAACUAAAAUAACUGCUUUAAACUCCAAAAAUUGAAUGUCUCAACUCUCAAGUGGAUCAAGUUAUCUUUUUUACUCAAAAAUAGAAUUGCACUAUUUAAUGUGUAAAAUUGCUGACAUUUCACUUAGUGAUAAAAAAUUAAAAACGUUAGAUGAUGAAAAAUUGAAAAACUUUAUCAAGCCAAAAACAUAAUCGAUUUGUACUAUUCACAAUGUAAAAAAUAGGUUUUGACAUUUUUUUAAGAAAAAAAUUGAGAUUUUUAAGGGUGAAUUUGAUGAAAAGAAUAUUACAUUAACCUUGAAUAUUUCUUAAAACAUUAUGUAAGUCUUUAUGAAUGAUAGUGAUACGUACAAGAUGGCUCAAACACUAUCAUUAUAAAUUAGAUUUGAAUUAAAAAAAAUACAAAUAUUAUUAUAUAAAUUAAAGCUUAAUUUAUUUUAGUUUAUAAAAUACUUUUUAUUUUUUAUUUUUUGAAAAAGACUUAACACAUUUUUCUAUUUGGAGAUUCUUUAUUUUUAACGUUCAUUUAUCCUUAAUGACAUCAAUGUAAGAUUUGUGGAAAACAUUUUAGUCUCAUAAAAAAUUGAUUCUAUAUCCAAUAUAGACUUUUUAUUUAAUUGUAGCACAAACAUGAUUUAAAUUCCUAAAAGAAUGAAAUAAAGAAAUAGUGACAAAUUUUUUUGUUACAGAUUCUCAGUUACAUCACAUUUUAAAAAAAAUGUCAUAAUUGGGGAUAUUUCUAGUUUUAAAGUGGUUUUAUUUCAGGUUAAUGUCUUCAAUUAUCUAUCAUUACUGUUGAAUGAUAUGUGUCAAAUCUCUUUUUAGCAAUCCAAUUGAAGUAUUUCUCUUCUCAUUUGUAUCCCAAUUUUGUUCCAAUGAUAGUUUUUGUUUAUUGUCAGUCAAUUUAAGAACAAAUACUCGAUCAUUAUAUUAUUUCCCGCAUAUUUUUAUCUUCCUUUCUCUCUCCAACUCUUUUCUUUUCAUUUUCUCGAUCGCCAUUUUUCAUAUCAUCAAAUAACUUUUUUUUCUGUGAACUUAUUGUUUUUAUCCAUGUUCUUUUCUAUUAUGGAAAGAUUAUCAAUCUAAGUACAUGGUAUUAGUCGAAAAAUUCACUUCUCUUUAGUCAUUAUUACCUUUUAAAAAAAAACUAUUUCAUUAGAUAAGGUAUGCAUAAGGCUAAUUUUUAUUAGUAAAGAAAAAAAAAAUUAAAGGACCUCAAAGGAAAAAUACAAGUAAGGGAGAAAAGUACAAAUAAGGGGUAUCAGAACAGUUUCGGAUAAAUUAUAAUUUCUUGUUAUGUCCCUUUGGAUAAACUAUUUUUGAUUCGCUUAAUACCAAUAAAAAUGAAGAUAUAGAUAUUUAUAAUUAUAAUUAUUUUGGAGAUAACUUGAAUCUCUUAUAUUCAAACCGCUUCAUAAUUAUAUUGAUUUGUUGUUCUUCAUGUCUACUAUGAAACUCUGCAUCACUAAUUCUCCAUCUUCGUCGUUUAAAGCAUGAAGCAACUUCCAAAUUUUUGAAUUGGAUCUUGAAUUUUUUGUUUUAGAAACUAUUACUCUUUUAUUAGGAGUAUAAUUAAUGAUGUAGUUUUGAUACUUAUAAAUGAUAAAUAAAAAAGAACGGAGAAAUUUUGAUAUAUUUUUUGUUCAUAAUUAGAAUAUGCGAUAAACAAAACUAUAUACAUUUGAGAAAUUCUCUAUUCUUCAAAAAAAAAAUUGUCAAUUCUCAAUCUGUCCAAAUCGAGAAAAUAAAAGCACAUUAUGAAAAAAAAAGUGUGCAUAAAAAUUUGCAUUUAGUCUAUUCUACUGAAUUAGUUACAUUUCAAUUUGUAUAAAUUCAACAUUAACUUAAUAAAAUAGGAUGGCAUAGAAACUCAACUUUGAACCGGAAAAACAAGUGCACAAAAGUAAUUUAUGUUUAAGCCAUCAAUCUAUGAACUUUACAAAUAAUAUGUGUUUAAUUCAAUAAAUUAAAUUAAAUAUUGCAUAUCGCCCUUUAUUUUUCUUUUGGGACAUGAUUUUCAAUUCAAAGUUGCUACAUUCUGCACUCAAGGAAAAUCCAAUAUUAUUAUAUUUUGGGUGCCAUCGAAAUAGACCACAAAUCAACAUUCCAAAUGCAUGGUGCAAUUGUGACAAAAAAGACUAAAAGACAAAAUAAUGCAAUGUCUCAUACUAGUUUAGUAAUAUUUUAUAUUGCAAGUCGUUUUCUGAAUUGACACUAGAAACCCUUAGACUUACAGACAGACGCCAAAAAAGGAAAACAAAAUUAAAAAUGGAAUGGAUUAAACUUUUAUACACUAACCAGUACAAUAGUCAAGUGCGGCAACCAGACGGCAAUAAGUAUUUAAACGUGAAGGAUUGAUGGCUGAGACAAAAGACUCUCACCAUACAUUAUAAAUACUCAUUUCCUUCACUUCCAUUUCCAUCAUCACUUGUUCAAUUUCUCUAAGCACAAAAUUAACACUUCUUUUUCACAAGCUAACUGUAGAAGAAAUGGCCCUAGCUGCUGCAGUGAUGAGUAACUACGGAGAGGAGGAGAUUGUUCGCCCUGUUGCUGACUUCUCUCCAAGUCUUUGGGGUGAUCGUUUCCAUUAUUUCUCCCUCGAUAAUCAGGUAUAUUUAAUUGAUUUGUCUGUUUAAAGCACAUUGUUUAAUAAAAUGUAUUACUUAUUAUAUAAAUUUUCAUUUGGAUAAAUUAAUUUAUAGGUUGAAAAAGAGUAUGCUCAAGAGAUUGAAACAUUGAAAGAGCAAACAAGGAGUAUGUUGUUAGCUGCGAGUGGAAUGACAUUGGCUGAGAAGUUGAAUCUGAUAGACAUUGUUGAGCGCCUUGGCUUAGCUUACCAUUUUGAGAAACAAAUAGAAGACAUGUUGGAUCAAAUUUACAAAGCACAUCCUAACUUUGAGAGUCAUGAAUACAGUGACUUAACUACUUUAUCCGUUCAGUUUCGACUACUGAGACAACAUGGUUACAAUAUCUCUCCAAGUACGUAAUAUAAUAUAAUAUAAUAUAAUAAUCAACACCGUUACACUAGCACGUAACUAAUAGUAAGUAAUAUUUUGUUUUCAACUUGAACCAGAAAUUUUUAGCAGAUACCAAGAUGCAAAGGGAAAAUUUAACGAACCCCUUAGCAACGACAUCAAAGGUCUAUUGAACUUAUAUGAAGCUUCACAUGUAAGGACUCAUGGAGAAGACAUCUUAGAAGAGGCACUUGCUUUCUCCACUGCUCAUCUUGAAUCUGCAGCUCCACAUUUGAAGUCACCUCUGAGUAAGCAAGUCACACAUGCCCUUGAGCAAUCUCUCCAUAAGAGCAUUCCAAGAGUUGAGACACGAUACUUCAUCUCUAUCUACGAAGAGGAGGAACAUAAGAAUGAUGUGUUGCUUCGAUUUGCAAAACUGGACUUCAACUUACUUCAGAUGUUGCACAAACAAGAACUCAGUGAAGUAUCAAGGUAUGCUAGCUAGUAAUUUACAUGAAAAAUAUAAAUUAAUUGUUACUCGAUAGUAAUUUCUCAAAUCAAUUCUAAAUUUUUAAGAUUGAUUCUUAUUUUAUAGGUGGUGGAAAGAUUUGGAUUUUGUGACAACACUUCCAUAUGCUAGGGAUAGAGCAGUUGAGUGCUACUUUUGGACGAUGGGAGUGUAUGCUGAACCUCAGUAUUCUCAUGCUCGUGUCAUGCUUGCUAAGACUAUAGCAAUGAUUUCUAUAGUAGAUGACACAUUCGAUGCUUAUGGAAUCGUAAAAGAACUCGAGGUUUACACCGAUGCCAUACAGAGGUAUGAACAAUUGCCUCUCCAACAGCAAAUGGUUAAUUUCUUAGAAGGGAAACUUACUUAAUCUUUAUCUUUUAUUAGGUGGGAUAUCAGCCAAAUUGAUCGGCUCCCAGAUUACAUGAAAAUCAGUUAUAAAGCACUUCUAGAUCUCUACAACGAUUAUGAAACAGAGUUGUCAAUGGAUGGUAGAUCCGAUGUUGUUCACUACGCCAAAGAAAGAGUAUGAAUCAUGACUUAUACUAGUUAUCUCAAUAUUAAUCAGUUUGUUAACGAAUAUCUGUAGCUUUUUCUCCUCAUCUUUGCGUAUAAGGAAAUUCAUUUUUUGAAUAAAUACUGAUGUUUGAGUGUCUUUGCUUGUUGUUGACAGAUGAAAGAAAUCGUGAGAAACUAUUUUGUGGAAGCAAAAUGGUUCAUUGAAGGAUACAUGCCACCUGUUUCUGAGUAUCUUAGCAAUGCAUUAGCUACUAGCACUUAUUACUUGCUUACGACAACAUCCUACUUGGGCGUGAAAUCUGCUAACAAGGAAGAUUUUGAAUGGUUGGCUAAGAACCCUAAAAUCCUUGAAGCCAAUGUGACUUUAUGUCGAGUCAUUGAUGAUAUAGCAACCUAUGAAGUUGAGAAGGGUAGAGGUCAGAUUGCAACUGGAAUUGAGUGUUAUAUGAGGGAUUAUGGCGUAUCAACAGAAGUAGCAAUGGAAAAAUUCCAAGAGAUGGCUGAGAUAGCAUGGAAGGAUGUAAAUGAAGGAAUUCUUCGACCAACACCUAUCUCUACAGAAAUCCUUACUCGUAUUCUCAAUCUGGCUCGUAUUAUAGAUGUCACUUACAAGCACAAUCAAGAUGGAUACACUCAUCCAGAGAAGGUUCUAAAACCUCACAUUAUCGCUUUGUUGGUAGAUUCUAUUGAAAUUUAAAUUAUCAAUUCACCAAGGAAUACUUGGUACUUCUCAGUCCCUUAAAUAAGUAAUUGGUGAUAUCGUGCAAUGAAGUUACUUUCUUAACUUUCUUCUUUGUAUUAUCAUUGAUAAUAUUUAAAUUUAAUUACUUCAGUUUCUACCUAGCUGCUUUAGCUUAAUUUGUUUAAGUUAUGUAAAACAAUUCUGAAAGUCAUGACGUGAAAGAAUAUGCUUCAACAGUUUCUGAUUAGCCACAAGAAAAUAAAUAAAAAAUUGAAUAUUCC